CUUCUUAAUACUAUACUCAGUGAUUCUCAACCUGCGCGUUUACAACAUUGAAAGCAGGAGCCGUGAAGGAGUGGGUAUUAUGAUCUGAAACAACAGGACGUGUGCUCCCUGCUAUUCAGCACCGGACUGCCAGGGAAUAGAUAUAGGAUACCACUGGACCACCAGGGUCAUUUGUGACCAAGCACUAGAAUGACGGGGCGCUGCAGGGAAGAGUGUCACAGCUCGGAACACGG